CACACGUUGGGUGGAGUGGGAACCUCUACGCUUUUCGGCUCCAGCAUCUUGCUGGACUAAGCUUCUGCUUUCAUAGACUACCCCAUUUUUCUGUUUUCUAACAGAUACACUCUGGCUGUUUUAUUCACACAACUGCUGCUCAGAAUUCUCCACACCUUUGUUUCCUGGAAGAGGAAAUGGCAUUUCCGGGAGAGGACGACAUGUGGGUGAUGAGGUUCCACUCAUUGUGUUAAAAACAUCUCAGCUUUCGGUUGUGAACUUCUUUUCCUCCUUUGGUGUCUGCCUCAGUCUUCCUGGAAUCGUGCUGAGUAGAGUCUGGGGCAGCUUUGUGUUUAGCUCACCUCAGCUGGGAAAUGCCUGAUUCCGGCCUGAGAUCCACUGGAUUGCCCGAAAGCUAAGAGAUGAGCAAUUCCCAUGCACCUUGUCGCUCAAGCUAUUGCAAACCAUUUUGCUCCAAGCUGGAAUUUGGAAGACAGCCUGAGACAUCAUUUUGCUUUUCCUCUGGACCUAGCUGGUGAUUGUGAAGUCACACACGGAGGAAAACAGUUUGGACUAUUUUAAGAGAAAUUUGCCCACCUGGCUAUCCAUUUCUUUCAAAGCCUGGCAAAGAUCACUUUUGAAGUGACCGGCCUGAGUCCCAGGAAGAAUCAGCGUGGACUUGGAGGACUUCACCAGAUGCCCAAGUGACAUGCAAAGUCUAGUGCAAGUAUACUCAGAAAAUGUCAAAAUUAUUCUAGGAACUUUGGGUUACACUAACAGAGGCGAAAACAAAAAUAAGUAUUUUAAAGUCACUGCUUGGACAAGGGAAGGGAGGGGGUUGUUUUUUUCUCUGUAAUGCAACCUUAGAGUUUCAAGUGAAAACUGUUACUGCCAAAAGUGAGAUUUAGAGCCAGAAGCAAAAAUUUGCCUUCCUGUCAGGGAGCAAGUAAACCUCCAUUGCUGCUGAUAGUAAGAUUGAUAUCAGUGCUUGUAGAUCAUGAGGGAAAACAGUGAAGGUGAACAAAAAGCUUAAUCUAAGGUAAAAAAAAAAAAAGGAAAAUAGUCAUAAUUUCAUUAUUUGAAAUAUUUGGUGGAUAUGCUUGUAAUUUUAAGCUGCUUUAUCAUGUUAGACAAGUUAAGGGAGGUAAGUAUUAUUUCUUCAUUUGAGAGACACAUUGUGAUGAUGGUAACGAUGAUGAAUAAAUAUUCACUAAUAUUUAUUGUGCAUCACAUGUGUCAGAGCACAGGCUGAAGUACUUUAUUGCAAUUAUUUUACUGGAUUCUUACAACAAAUCCCUUGAGAUAAGUAGUAUCUUCAUUUCACAGUUGAACCUUAAAGAUGACCCCCCAAGCUCAUCUAACAAAUGAGUUCUGGGGUAUGGGUUAUGCCUCAUUCAACUGAUCCUGAGUUCUCACUUUUUGCAUCAUACAGAAAUAAGGCAAGAGUUGAAAUUAUAGUCCAGCCCUUGAAGCUGUAAAGAAAUUGUGUAUAUUACUAGAUAUCCUGGGUAAUAAGACACUCUGAGAGCAAAGGGGUGCACACAGGUAUGGAGGGCCAGUGUAAACUAUAGUGUGUCACAGUGUUCACUGAAUUAUAAAAACGGUAGAAAAAGAAAGAAACCAUAAUCCUUACUGAUGAAGAACACUUGAAAUGGAUUAUAUUUUCCUGCACAUCAGUUAACAUCAAUUAUAAAAAGAUGAAAUUGA